rnacentral:ncRNA from 2 species
AUCAGGUAGGACUACCCGCUGAACU